AGCACUAGGUUGUUAAGUGAAAAACAGGAUUACUUGUGAGAAAAAUCAGAAUCCUGGAGCAGCUGUAGCUAGAAAUGGGAUUAAACAAAAUGCCUUAAUGCUGAAACAUGAAAUCAGAAGCUGAGGAUAAAUGCAGACAGUUGAUGAGAAGAGCCUAUGGCCAUGUGGACUCUUUGCAGACUGUCCUGUGUGGGAAAAUGGGCAGCUGAACACCAGUAUAGCCAGCUCAUAUUUUUGAGUUGACUAAGAGACUUAUUAGUGCAGGAUGAAGUAGUUGUGCAAUGCUCAGAGGAGGGCAAGAAAAUCACAGAAGGUCUCUGAACAUGGUGGUUGAAAACAUCAGAGCUGACCAGCUGGAGUUUAUCCUGGUGAUCUGGAUCUGGACCCCAAAGGCAGAGCCUGCCUCUCCCACUGUGCCCUCUCCACAGAGCUUGGCAGAGCUGUGGAUCAGCAGGGUUGCAGUAAUCUGUUCAGAGGAGGGGCAGGAGAGAGGAUGGAGGCUGAUUAAAUUGCAAGGAGUCUUUGACUUACAGGUAGUUAUUAAUCUGUAAUUGUGUGACAGGAUUUCUGUGAAUACUUCCAAUUUUUAGGUGAUCACUGAAAGGUUCCUGGUGAAUUUUUGUUACUGGUUUAUUUCUGUGGCUACUUGGGAAGUUUUGCUGCAUGGUUAUAACACAGAAAUAAUUAACAAAUUCUAAUUAGGGGAUAAGGUGUGUGCUUGUAAACAAACAUCUCAUUCAAGGCAAAACAGAACCAAGAGUCACUGAAGAUAAAACUUGGUUUCUUCAGAAAAUCCUAUUUAGUAGCUGUAGUUUGGUUUGGAAAGAGAAUAUUCUAGAGAAGUAGGGUUGGACAUCUUCAUCAUCAAAACCAGUCUGCAGUGUGACAGAGCAGCAGGAUUUGGUACUGACUCCUCCUGGCAAACAGGAAAACGUGCCCCAGGGAGGAUGGGCUGCAGCGAGGUUUGAUUAACGGAGACACCUGGAGCUCACAUCCUCUCCCCAGAGCCCUUCCCUUGUCCUUUGUGCCCUUCACAACUGCUGCCUGAAAGAAUCACUGCCUUUUCCUUCAGAGAUACAAGCCUUGCAGCCUCCCUGCCUUCCACAAAUGUCUGAGAAUUUUGUGAAGUCAGCGUUAAAGCAUGAGAUGGAUGGAAUGACCUUUGCACUGUUCUAAAUCUCACUGCCCGUGGUCGGUGUGAGGUGACACACGGGAGCGGAGUGGGCAUCCAGCGGGCAGCAGUGGCAGUGCCGGGGCAUCCAGUGGGGAUCCAGUGGGCAUUUAUCAGGCAUCCACGAGGGAUCCAUUGGGGAUUCUUUGGGCAUCCAUCAGGAAUUCAUCAAGGAUCCAUCGGGAAUUCAUCAAAGAUCCAUUGGGAGUUCAUCAAGGA
rnacentral:lncRNA from 1 species